ACUUACUAUACCAGCCGCCAGGAACAGCAGAUCCAGUUCAGGGUAUAUUAACAGUGUCCUCAGACUCCUCUGAAUGCUGUGUUUAUUGUGAAGGACAGCCUGAGCACACCUUGACCUGUCAGGCUGAAAUCAGGUAAAGUGUUAUCAGUCUAAUAAAGGGGAAGAUAUAUAAUGCUGGAGUUGCGGAAGAACUGACUGAUAGCGGAGACCCACGCCAGCCAGAGCAGAUCAUCUCCACAGAUGCAAACUAACAGAGAAGAAUGAUGAAGAAUAAAAGUGGAAACUCUCCAGAGGACAGCGAAGUCAUAUACAACGCUGAA
rnacentral:lncRNA from 1 species